GUGGGGAAUUUUGGACAAUGGGGGCAACCCUGAUCCAGCCAUGCCGCGUGCGGGAAGAAGGCCUUCGGGUUGUAAACCGCUUUUGUCAGGGAAGAAAUCCUUUGGGUUAAUACCUCGGAGGGAUGACGGUACCUGAAGAAUAAGCACCGGCUAACUACGUGCCAGCAGCCGCGGUAAUACGUAGGGUGCGAGCGUUAAUCGGAAUUACUGGGCGUAAAGCGUGCGCAGGCGGUUUUGUAAGAUCGAUGUGAAAUCCCCGGGCUCAACCUGGGAACUGCAUUGGUGACUGCAAGGGUGGAGUGCGGCAGAGGGGGAUGGAAUUCCGCGUGUAGCAGUGAAAUGCGUAGAUAUGCGGAGGAACACCGAUGGCGAAGGCAAUCCCCUGGGCCUGCACUGACGCUCAUGCACGAAAGCGUGGGGAGCAAACAGGAUUAGAAACCCUGGUAGUCC
rnacentral:rRNA from 1 species